rnacentral:tRNA from 1 species
GGAGGAGUGGCAGAGUGGUCUAAUGCGCACCCUUGGAAAGGGUGUGUCCGGUAAAACGGACCGCAGGUUCGAAUCCUGUCUCCUCCG